rnacentral:rRNA from 1 species
UACGUAGGGCGCAAGCGUUGUCCGGAAUUAUUGGGCGUAAAGAGCUCGUAGGCGGUUUGUCGCGUCUGCUGUGAAAACCUCAGGCUCAACCUGGGGCUUGCAGUGGGUACGGGCAGACUAGAGUGCGGUAGGGGUGACUGGAAUUCCUGGUGUAGCGGUGGAAUGCGCAGAUAUCAGGAGGAACACCGAUGGCGAAGGCAGGUCACUGGGCCGCAACUGACGCUGAGGAGCGGAAAAGCAUGGGGGAGCGAACAGG